AUUGAACGCUGGCGGCAGGCUUAACACAUGCAAGUCGAGCGGUAACAGGAGAAGCUUGCUUCUCGCUGACGAGCGGCGGACGGGUGAGUAAUACUUAGGAAUCUACCUAGUAGUGGGGGAUAGCUCGGGGAAACUCGAAUUAAUACCGCAUACGACCUAGGGGAGAAAGGGGGCAACUUGUUGCUCUCGCAAUUAGAUGAGCCUAAGUAGGAUUAGCUAGAUGGUGGGGUAAAGGCCUACAAGGGCGACGAUCUGUAGAUGGUCUGAGAGGAUGAUCAGCCACACCGGGACUGAGACAGGGCCCGGACUCCUAAGGGAGGCAGCAGUGGGGAAUAUUGGACAAUGGGGGCAACCCUGAUCCAGCCAUGCCGCGUGUGUGAAGAGGGCCUUUUGGUUGUAAAGCACUUUAAGCAGUGAAGAAGACUCUAGGGUUAAUACCCUUAGACGAUGACAUUAGCUGCAGAAUAAGCACCGGCUAACUCUGUGCCAGCCGCCGCAGUAA
rnacentral:rRNA from 1 species